UAAGAUGGUUCAUAGAUGGCAAGCAGCGUGAGCAGGGGCUUCUUAAUGUAAUUUUUCCUCUGGGAAUUUUCCUAACAAGAUGGUUUGAUUUCCUCCCGGAAUUAAGCUGGGGGUGGCUGCUAUUUUUCUAGUAAGACUUGCUACUCUAACUGCAUCCGGGCCCUGAAUCACAACAGUCUGCUUUUGGAACAGUGAGCGGCACACUGCAACCUCAAGCUCUGGUAAUGGCGAGAUGAUAACUGAGACUUUGGGGUGGGUGGGUGCAGUGGGGGCAUGCUCAGGUCUUCCUAGACUAGGAGAGUGGUCUCCGGGGAACACUGCUGCUUCUUCCUUGCUUUGAUUUCCUUUGGUGAGAAGCGAGUCUUUUCUUGGUGGACUGUUGCAUCUGUUCUUCGCCAAAUGGGCCUGCUGGUGUGUGAUGGAAGGGACGGGAACUUCCUUUCCUUCUGGUCGUUCCCGCCGCCGUGCCCGAGUGAUUCCGUUUCCCGUGUCCUGGAUGUGCCCUCCCUUCUUAUGUAAGGAGGCAGGGUACAUCUGGUGCCAGAUUUCAUUCAGCCCUGUAACAAUCCCCCUUUAUGACGUCACUGCUCAUCGCCAUGGAAACACCCCCAGUCACAGAGACUGGAUUGUGGAUCAUAGCAUCAGGCAGCCGCAGGAGGAGAGCACAGGAGAGGAUUGAAACUGCCUGGGUGGCCAACAAACUAGCAAGCAGUGGCAGAAAUACAAGAUUUUUCUGUUAGGACCCUUGAAUGAAGAGCCCAACCGCAGGUCUGCAGUGUUCUUGUCUGGGAUCUCAGAAAAAACAAGAGACUCAUUCAGUGUGGAAGACCAGGAAGAAAGAUGACAUUAAAAUGCCGGUUCUAUCACUGCAGAGAAGACCUUGAGGACAAGAGCAAGAACCUGGGGUUGUCAGUGCAUCCCUUUCACACCAAGUCUGCUUCUCGCCACUGGCAGAAAUACCUCUGAGGUCAGGCGUCCCUGCCUCAGACCCUUCUGGAACUUUCUUCAGGUGCUUUGCCUGGAUGGCCUUCAGACCAGGCUCUGCCGCGUCGUCCUCUCCUGCAGUCUUUGCCGAGGGCUGUCAAACACAACGCUGUAUUUCUCCCUCUUCCUCUUGGCGAAGGGUUCCCGAAAGCCGUCUGUUCACCUUCUUUUAAUUGCUAAUAAUUAUUCAAUUUUAUAUAGCCCAGAGUAAUAAAUAUUCAUGAAUAACAUAGUGCAUCAAGA